rnacentral:piRNA from 1 species
UACCGAAAUUCAGGAGAAUGAUGUGAAAUA